AGUCGAACGAAGUAGCAAUACUUAGUGGCAGACGGGUGAGUAACAUGUGGGUAUCUACCCUUUGGCCUGGAAUAACACGAGGAAACUUGUGCUAAUACCGGAUAAGUCUUUACGGAGAAAGCUCUAUGCACCAUUGGAUGAGCCUGCACUUGAUUAGUUUGUUGGUAGGGUAAUGGCCUACCAAGACUUUGAUCAAUAGCUGAUUUGAGAGGAUGAUCAGCCACAUUGGGACUGAGACACGGCCCAAACUCCUACGGGAGGCAGCAGUGGGGAAUCUUGCACAAUGGAGGAAGCUCUGAUGCAGCGAUGCCGCGUGAGUGAAGAAGGCCCUUGGGUUGUAAAGCUCUUUCGUCGGGGAAGAAAAUGACUGUACCCGAAUAAGAAGGUCCGGCUAACUUCGUGCCAGCAACCGCGGUAAUACGAAGGGGCCUAGCGUAGUUCGGAAUUACUGGGCUUAAAGAGUUCGUAGGUGGUUGAAAAAGUUGGUGGUGAAAUCCCAGAGCUUAACUCUGGAACUGCCAUCAAAACUUUUCAGCUAGAGUUUGAUAGAGGAAAGCAGAAUUCCUAGUGUAGAGGUGAAAUUCGUAGAUAUUAGAAAGAAUACCAAUUGCGAAGGCAGCUUUCUGGAUCAUUACUGACACUGAGGAACGAAAGCAUGGGUAGCGAAGAGGAUUAGAUACCCUCGUAGUCCAUGCCGUAAACGAUGUGUGUUAGACGUUGGAAAUUUAUUUUCAGUGUCGCAGCGAAAGCGAUAAACACACCGCCUGGGGAGUACGACCGCAAGGUUAAAACUCAAAUGAAUUGACGGGGACCCGCACAAGUAGUGGAGCAUGUGGUUUAAUUCGAAGAUACGCGCAGAACCUUACCAACACUUGACAUGUUCGUCGCGACUUUAAGAGAUUAAAGUUUUCGGUUCGGCCGGACGAAACACAGGUGCUGCAUGGCUGUCGUCAGCUCGUGUCGUG
rnacentral:rRNA from 1 species